AGUAAUAUGGGAAAUACAAAAAUGAAAUAAAAACUACCUGUAAUCUCCCCUCCGCCUGGAGAAAACAACUGUUUACAUUUUGGUGUAUUCUCCCAUUAUUCUUUUCAAAUAUAUACCUUGAUAGCACAACAUGGCCCCCUGAAUUUUAUUAACUUAAUAUUUCAUCAUGAAUGUGUCCUCAUGGCAUUAAGUAUUCUUGGAACAUAUGUUUUUUCAGGGCUGCUCAGAUCCCAUUAUGGAUGGUCUGUGGAGUAGUUGAGACAGAGUUAUUGGACAGGCUCAGUGGAAGGAAAUUUCCUUGUCUCAGGUUUUUCUUUUGUCCAGCCACCUCUCUAAACUGUUUGACUUCUGCAGUUGUUUUUCAGGGGGAAGAGAAUACUGAGAUGGAUUUAAUGAAAUUACAUUUUCCAAGAAGCCUCUUGAACAGAAUGAAGUUCUUCAUUUGCCACUAAACUUUCCUCCUUGACUGAGCUCACUGAUGGUUUCUUUAAUAUGCAGAGAAAGGAUCUCCUUCUGCCAUGAACCUGAGGAUGCCCAGUGGCUGACUAUACUUGCCACAAACAACUCCAAGAUGGUUAAUAUGAACAGAUAUUCCGAAAGGAGUUUGCCACUUUUCUGUAUCCACAAAGAAAAUGUACAUUCCUUACAGAUCUUUCUAUGUGAGCACUUUAGAAAUAAUAAAGGUAUCUUAAAAUUGAAGAAGAAAAAUAGAAGAGAAAAACUACCCACCCUAUCCUCCACCCUCAACAAUAGAAUUUUAAAUAUUUUUUAAUUGUAAUUACAAUGGAUAAUUAUUGAGGAUGAUGAUAUACUGAUAUAUUUCUGCCAAAUGUAUGAUGAGAAUCAUUGAUUGUGUUUUCCUGUUUAUUGUUGUGGAUAAUAACAGGAAAUUUUCAUUGAGUCCAAUAAAUCUCUGGGGAAGAUGGAAUUGUGACACCCUUGAGGUUUAGUGUUAUAGAACUUAUUUAAUAGAGAAACUUACAUAAAUUUGCCCUGUUGAUAGGAAAGGACACUAAAGAGAAACAAUGAAAGAAAAGAAUGUUUGGACUUGUAACCUGGACUCAACACAAGGGCUGAUGUGACCUGGGGGUAGGAAUUUCCUCCUGGGAUUGUGCCUCUGUCUAUAAGCUCCAAUAGACCCAUAUCCUGACAGUAUAGCUGGGUUAGAGACAAGAAUACAGAAUCCGUAAUAUUGGAAGCCCAAGCCUCUUCAGUACUCAGUGCACUUUUAUGACAAGGUCACCAUGGGCUACUCAAAUCAGUGUUAAAUAAUGGCGUCAUUUAAUAGUAACUGAACCAUAGCAGUGGAAAUUAAGGGCACACUGGUGGACUGAUGAGGUACUACAUGACUCUGUUAACUAAGGGCUUGGAGUCAAUAUCGAACCUUUGGAUCCCAGUGGU
rnacentral:lncRNA from 1 species